ACCGUCGUGGCGCAGGGGCACAAGGGUGUGACUAUAACCCGAAGGUUGUGGGUUCGAACCCCACCCGGAGGAA
rnacentral:tRNA from 1 species